AGAGUUUGAUCCUGGCUCAGAGCGAACGCUGGCGGUAUGCUUAACACAUGCAAGUCGAGCGAGAAAAUGGCUUCGGCCAUGAGUACAGCGGCGGACGGGUGAGUAAUACAUGGAUAAUCUGCCUUUAGGACUGGGACAACCCUGGGAAACUAGGGCUAAUACCGGAUAAGACCACAGAAUCUGCGGAUUCAGUGGUAAAAGGUGGCUUUCGGGCUAUCACCUAGAGAUGAGUCCAUGUCCCAUCAGGUUGUUGGUGAGGUAACGGCCCACCAAGCCUAAGACGGGUAGCCGGCCUUAGCGGGUGAUCGGCCACACGGGGACUGAGACACGGCCCCGACUCCUACGGGAGGCAGCAGUGGGGAAUAUUGGACAAUGGGCGCAAGCCUGAUCCAGCAAUACCGCGUGAGGGAUGAAGGCCCUAGGGUCGUAAACCUCUGUCAGUUGGAACGAUGGGUUUGUAGGUUAAUACCCUGCAAACUUGACGGUACCUUCAAAGGAAGCCCCGGCUAACUCCGUGCCAACAGCUGCGGUAAUACGGAGGGGGCAAGCGUUGCUCGGAAUUACUGGGCGUAAAGGGUCCGCAAGUGGCUUUGUAAGUUAGAUGUGAAAUCUCAGGGCUCAACCCUGCAACUGCAUCUAAUACUGCAUAGCUUGAGUACCGGAGAGGUUGGGGGAAUUCCCGGUGUAGCGGUGAAAUGC
rnacentral:rRNA from 1 species